UACGUAGGCAGCGAGCGUUGUUCGGAGUUACUGGGCGUAAAGGGUGUGUAGGCGGUUGUUUAAGUUUGGUGUGAAAUCUCCCGGCUCAACUGGGAGGGUGCGCCGAAUACUGAGCGACUAGAGUGCGGGAGAGGAAAGUGGAAUUCCUGGUGUAGCGGUGAAAUGCGUAGAUAUCAGGAGGAACACCGGUGGUGUAGACGGCUUCUGGACCGUAACUGACGCUGAGACACGAAAGCGUGGGUAGCAAACAGG
rnacentral:rRNA from 1 species